ACUGAUAAGAUGGAACUUGUAUGUGAUAAUCAAGCAACCCUUCAUAUUGCAUCUAAUUUAGUGUUCCAUGAGAGGACCAAGCACAUAGAGAUUGAUUGUCACUUUGUUAGAGAAAAGAUACUCUCAGGAGAUAUUAAUACAAAAUUUGUAGUCAAGUGAUCAACUUGCAGAUAUCUUCACCAUGUCCCUCACUAGUUGAUACGAAACGGUACCUAAAUGAGCACAAAAUAGUCCGUAAUCUCGCAAAACAGCCCACACAUACAAGACACCAAGCGGAAACAACAAACACAAACUUGGAAGAUAAAGAAGAUAGAUAACUUGACACAAAGAGAAUACGAAAUGUAGCGACUAAAGAGUGUAUCAAACUCUAAAACCUCUACAAAUCACAUUAACAAGCACCAAGCUCUUACACGAACACAAGAGGAACUCGGUUCACUCAAGCAUUCACGUUUCUAGCUGUUUCACAACACAAGUGGAACCUUUCACUUGUGAUGUUCAAAGUUGGUGGUCUACUUUCUUCUUGAGAGGAAAAAUGGUGUUUUAAUGUUACAAUCUUCAUUCAAAAUAAGCUAACUAAGGAACAAGACUAAGGAAAAUGUUUAAAUAGUCUAUUACAAAAGGUGCUGCAAAAGGAAUCCUUUUCCCUUAAGGCCUUGCGUGUGGAGUGUAUUUGGGGCAGCCUUGGGUGUAUUUUUGAGCACCUAAGGCCAACCCUCACAUGUCAAGGCGUACACUCCCUUGGGCGAGUUCAUAACAAGCUCAAACGCGUCCAUUUUCAUAAACGCGCUUUGUAGUCUUUGUAGUUCCUGAGCUUGGAGAAGGCUUUGAAAAAGGUCUUCAAUUCACUUUGCAAAUCCGAAACUUGGACCUUCAACAAAAACUUGUAAUCCUUGUGCUCCUCAUGCUUGUAUCACCGGUCCUCGUAUUAAUCAUAUUUGUAACAAGCUAGGUACAUAUGACUUGCAUGCACCGAUUUGAGGGGGAGUGUUAGAAUAUGAAUAGGAAUAGGAAUUGUAUACAAAUUCCUACUUAGAAAAGGAUUGUAAUGUAGUGUCUAUAAAUAAGAUGUCAAUGUAAUUAUGUAGUCACAUAAUUCAAUAAUAAUUUUUCUCCAUUAUUUUCUCACACACACACACACACACACAUAUAUAUAAUAUGUGUGUAUAUAUAUAUUCUGUGUAGUCCUAGGAGGAUAGUGUGUACUUAGCCUUAUCAUGAAGGUAAAGAGACUAUUUUUGAAAAAUCCUUGGCUCAAGUAAAGCGGAAUCAAAAAACAAGUAAAACAAAUAUAGUUGUGAAGAAAUGCUAAAAACAAUUUAGAAAAGAACAAGUAGCAACAAUAAAAUGUACAAUAACCAAAGCAAAGGAAACAACAGGUGGCUCUAAAGUUGAAGAAUAACAUAGUUAGAGAAUAAUAAUAACAAUACUCAAUUAUCCACUAACCUUCUAUCCUAAAUCUUGACCUCCAUUCUUUUUAUCUAGGGUCAUCCUUGGUAAGUUUUGGGUGUAUCAUGUCCUGUCUAAUCACCUCACUCCAUGAUUUCUUUGGGCUACCUCUGCCUUUCCUAAUGCCCACUAUAGCAACCUCUCUAACGUCCUCCCCACACGGACAUUUGUUAAUUUAUCUUGUUUUCACAUACCUGAACCAUCUCAACCUUGCUUCCCUCGUCUUGUCCACCAUACAAGCCACUCUCACUCGGAUUAUGCCCACACAUCCAUCUUUAUAUCCUCUUUUCCACUUCUUUCAUCUUCUGGAAGUGAAAGUUCUUGACCGACUAGUACACCUUAUACAACACAUCCUUCUUAAUAUCCUCUUUUCCACUACUUUCAUCUUCUGGAAGUGAAAGUUCUUGACUGACUAGUACACCUUAUACAACAUAGUUUGUCUAACCACCGCUUUAUAAAACUUGCUUUUAAGGCGGGGUGUCACGUUAUUGGAUGUGAACUUCCAUUUCAUUCACCAGUUCAAUAUGAUGCGUAACAUCGUCGUUAAUCUCCUUAUUUCCUUGGAUUAUUGACCCUAUAUAUUUAAAACUUCCUUCUUAGAGAUGACAUGUGUAUCAAUCCUUCUACAUUUGUCACCUGAGUUACAUCACUAAACUUGCACUCAAAGUAUUCUUUCUUAGUCAUGCUUGAGUUGCACCCUUUAGACUCCCGGGUCUGUUUCCAAACCUCCACUGUAUCAUUAACUCUGCUGUGUCGUCAAUGAAAGCUAUGCCAUUUGCAAAAUAGCAUACACGUUCACAUUUCUCCUUGAAUAUGUCGCGUCUAUUCCAUCCAUCACCAAGACAUAUAGAAACAGGCUAAGGAUUGAUCCUUGGUGUAGCCCCAUCACUCGCAAGUAUCCAAGUUUCCUCUCAUUGUCCUCACUCGGAUCUUGGCUUUACGUACAUGUUCUUGAUUGCCCCAAUGUAAGCUACAUGUGACCUUAGCCUCCAAACAUCUCUAUAGGACCCCUAGGGACUAUCAUAAGCUUUUUCUAGGUCAAUGAACACAAUAUGUAAUUCCCUCUUUCUUUCUUGAUAUUGCUUCGACAAUCUCCUUACGAGAUAUGGCUUCUGUGGUUCAAUGCCUUGACAUGAAUCCAAAUCGGUUCUCUCGAUAGACCUCUUCCACCCAUAUGAUGCCUUCCUCAUCUUUAAUGCACUUCACUUGGUCCAGGUAGGGGUGUGCAUUGGUCGGUUCGGUUUUACGUGUUAUUGGUUCGGUUUAUCGGUUUUCGAUUUUUAAAUAUGUAAAAAUCUAACCGUUUACCCAAUAAAUUUUUUUAUAAAACCAAUAAAAAACCGUUAACCCGAUAACCCAAUACCAAUAACCCAAUAAUAUUUUUAUCGGUUCGGCUUAUCGGUCGGUUCGGUUUUUGCACAGCCCUAGGUCCAGGUCUCGUACUCUCCUAUUUCUUGCCUUGGUGAGCAUAUGCAACUUAACCCCACAUUUGUUUUGAAGAUCUUCAUACAAGCGUUCAAACGUUGCUGUCUUAGACGACGUAACUGCUAACUUUGCUUCCUUAUCUGGGACCCACUCUACUACCAAUCCCCUAACUCUUCGGGCCAACUACAAAUUUUGAAAUUCGGGAAUAAUAGAUCCGCCUUUGCACCCUUCUCCACUUAACUACAGGACUUGGUUCACUUUGCAUUGAGCUCGAAUUUGUGAUUUGAGACACAACUUCCUCAACCUUUGCCAAUUGAGAUAAUCCCUGGGGCUGGGGCAAUUGUUUUGAUUCCUAUAUUUAUACGUACUUGAGAGUAUGUUCUUAAAGCAAUAUUCUAAUUCUCUUUUGCAUUUUCCAUUUUAUAGAAUACAAGUUCAGAGAAAAGUUUCUCAACUUUUUGUUUACCUUCAUGUUAUAUCCUAAGGAGAGAAUUGGGGGAAAAUUGGAUUGAGAAUUGGGAAUUUGGAUUGUGAGAAUAAGAGAUCGAUUGAGGCUUCGUAGUGGGUCCAACUGUUAAGUGAGAUGUGGCAAAGCCAUCUAUAAAUAUCUACACAGUUGAAGGGAAAGGCAGUUAUGGAAAUAUUGGUCAUUAAUGGCGACACCAAGCGGGCUAUGGAGAUUAUAGUCUAGUUUUCUUCCCUUAAUAAUUGUAAUCGAUCCACAGUUUAUGACUAAUAAGAUUUUCCAA